rnacentral:rRNA from 1 species
GAUGAACGCUGGCGGCGUGCCUAAUACAUGCAAGUCGAGCGAAUGGAUUAAGAGCUUGCUCUUAUGAAGUUAGCGGCGGACGGGUGAGUAACACGUGGGUAACCUGCCCAUAAGACUGGGAUAACUCCGGGAAACAGGGGCUAAUACCGGAUAACAUUUUGAACCGCAUGGUUCGAAAUUGAAAGGCGGCUUCGGCUGUCACUUAUGGAUGGACCCGCGUCGCAUUAGCUAGUUGGUGAGGUAACGGCUAACCAAGGCAACGAUGCGUAGCCGACCUGAGAGGGGGAUCGGCCAGACUGGGACCGAGACACGGCCCAGACUCCUACGGGAGGCAGCAGUAGGGAAUCUUCCGCAAUGGACGAAAGUCUGACGGAGCAACGCCGCGUGAGUGAUGAAGGCUUUCGGGUCGUAAAACUCUGUUGUUAGGGAAGAACAAGUGCUGGUUGAAUAAGCUGGCACCUUGACGGUACCUAACCAGAAAGCCACGGCUAACUACGUGCCAGCCGCCGCCGUAA